CAGCCGCCGCGGUAAUACCGGCGGCCCGAGUGGCGGUCACUAUUAUUGGGCUUAAAGCGUCCGUAGCCGGGUUGGGAAGUCCUCCGGGAAAUCUGGCCGCUUAACGGUCAGAAUGCCGGAGGAUACUCCCAGCCUAGGGAGCGGGAGAGGCCGAGGGGAUUCCCGGAGUAGGGGUGGAAUCCUAUAAUCCCGGGAGGACCACCAGUGGCGAAGGCGCUCGGCUGGAACGCGUCCGACGGUGAGGGACGAAGGCCAGGGGAGCAAACCGGAUUAGAUACCCGGGUAGUCCUGGCUGUAAACGAUGCGGACUUUGUGUCGGACAAGCUAUGAGCUUGUCCGGUGCCGGAGGGAAACCGUUAAGUCCGCCGCCUGGGGAGUACGGCCGCAAGGCUGAAACUUAAAGGAAUUGGCGGG
rnacentral:rRNA from 1 species